CACGUAGGGUGCGAGCGUUGUUCGGAAUUACUGGGCGUAAAGGGUGCGUAGGCGGUGCUCUAAGUCGGAUGUGAAAACUCUGGGCUCAACCCAGAGCCUGCAUCCGAAACUGGAGUGCUAGAGUUCUGGAGGGGGUAGCGGAAUUCCUGGUGUAGCGGUGAAAUGCGUAGAUAUCAGGAGGAACACCCGUAGCGAAGGCGGCCGACUGGACCACACCUGACGCUGAGGCGCGAAGGCCAGGGGAGCGAACGGG
rnacentral:rRNA from 1 species